UUCGAAGCAACGCGAAGAACCUUACCAGGCCUUGACAUGCAGAGAACUUCCCAGAGAUGGAUUGGUGCCUUCGGGAACUCUGACACAGGUGCUGCAUGGCUGUCGUCAGCUCGUGUCGUGAGAUGUUGGGUUAAGUCCCGUAACGAGCGCAACCCUUGUCCUUAGUUACCAGCACGUUAUGGUGGGCACUCUAAGGAGACUGCCGGUGACAAACCGGAGGAAGGUGGGGAUGGCGUCAAGUCAUCAUGGCCCUUACGGCCUGGGCUACACACGUGCUACAAUGGUCGGUACAAAGGGUUGCCAAGCCGCGAGGUGGAGCUAAUCCCAUAAAACCGAUCGUAGUCCGGAUCGCAGUCUGCAACUCGACUGCGUGAAGUCGGAAUCGCUAGUAAUCGUGAAUCAGAGUGUCACGGUGAAUACGUUCCCGGGCCUU
rnacentral:rRNA from 1 species